GACGAACGCUGGCGGCGUGCCUAACACAUGCAAGUAGAACGCAGUUGCGAACGGGUGAGUAACGCGUAGGUAACUGCCUCAUAGCGGGGGAUAACUAUUGGAAACGAUAGUUAAUACCCCAUACUGUGAGAUGGACCUGCGUUGUAUUAGCUAGUUGGUGAGGUAAAGGCUCACCAAGGCCACGAUCCAUAGCCGGCCUGGGAGGGUGAUCGGCCACACUGGGACUGGGACACGGCCCAGACUCCUACGGGAGGCAGCAGUAGGGAAUCAUCGGCAAUGGACGGAAGUCUGACCGAGCAACGCCGCGGGAGUGGAGAAGGUUUUCGGGUCGUAAAACUCUGGUGUUAGAGAAGCGGUAACUAACGAGAAAGGGACGGCUAACUACGUGCCAGCAGCCGCGGUAAUUC
rnacentral:rRNA from 1 species